rnacentral:lncRNA from 1 species
GCCUAGGAACAGCUCUGGCGGGCACGCAGCGGCCCCGAGCAGCCGGACCCUGCUUUCCUCCCUCUUUGUUCCUGAUGCAUCUGGUCAUUGGUGCCUUCUACUUUGGUCCUAUCGUAUUCAGUGUGACCAGCCCCCACCUGGAGAGUUCACCAUGGUGACCACAAGUCAGACCGGCAGCGUUAUUGUCUACCCACAGGACCAGAGGAAGACCUCAAGGAUCCACCCACUCCAGUCAGACAAGCUGGAGAUAUGUGAAGUCUGAAGGAUGAUAAGGUUAUUCAAACGAUCUGGAAAGGAACUGAUAGAUUAUCAGUAUAUAUCCAAGCCCUGGAUAUUGUUUAAAAAGCAAACAAAAACCUUUUUUUUCUUUUGCUGGAAUUUCUGAUGGUACAGUACACAAGUCCCAAUGUGUAACCUAACCAAAAAUAGCUAUACAUUGCUUAGAAAUUUACAUAGCUCAACCGCUGACCUUGUAGAGUUAGG